CACGCAUUGCUGGACAGUUUUCAAUUAGCCGAUCGCUUGAAGUUUGUUUUUGGCCUCGGGAAAGCUCGCGGAGCUUUUGAAGCCCGGUGCCGUUCUUGUCCACAUGCAUGAGCCGGCUGCUUCAGAAGAAAACGCGGAGCUCGCGAAAAGAAGACGAGAAGAGCUGGUGGAGGAGGCCCUCGCGGAUGAAUCGCAUGCCCCCAACGUGGACGUGUUUGAAGAGCUAGCUCGGACAGAACCCACCCAGCCGCUUGGGUCUAACAACGUGACACAAAGAGACAGUUAACCUUCCCUAUUCCACUGUGUGACGCCGCCUAUGGGACAACUACAGCCAACAAAGCCUUCCGAUGCUUCUCCAAUAGCAGAUCCAGCGCAAGUGCUCCAUUGAGUGUGCUACUCAGUGUAGUUUCUGGUUGUUCCCUCAGGUGGCUGCGACUACACAGGUCCCACCGCAGAAGUACACGUGUGACAAGUGAACUCAAACCUCUUUCAAGACAAGAAGCAAAGGACCACAGGUAUUUUAAUGUGUGACGAAUCGUUACGGGAACAACAUAAGGUGGACGAGCAUGGAAAUCCGAGCAAGCAUCUCUUCUGAGCACCAUCAAGGAGAAGGCUUUGAACGUCUCAAGGGAUGCUCGAUGCGAUUCUCCAGGUCAUUGCGCACUAAUGGGAACAUACACACUUCUGGAGACAACACUGAAUAAAGUGCUUCAUUUUGAGCAGAUAAUGUCACCUGAAGUUGGGUCCAGCAGCCAAAUGAAGAGAACAGGCCUUGAACGAGCAUUAGACUACCUUGAGCAACAAGACAUGACAAUUGAUAUGCUCAUAACGGACACACACACAGGCGUAAAGGUGUACAUGAAGACAGAGAGCCUAAAACAUCGAUUUGAUGUGUGGCACGUUGCUAGAGGCAUCAAGAAGAAGAUCAGUGCUGCAGCACAAACUAUGGCGCACCACAUACUAGGCCUGGGGUGUGCUAAAACAAGUUCAGACAAUGGGGACGAGCUUCUAGCAAAAUGGACAUCUGUCAUGCGGCACGUCAUUGAUAUCCACUACACCCGACGUGAUUUCAUGGUGGCCUAGGGGAGAGGGCUGUGGCUGCAAGAAGGCGCAGAAAUCUACAUGAAGCUCCAGAGCAUACUGUUGUCCAAGCAUCUGUUAGCAGACAUUCCAAGGCUAUCCCCAAGAGACUUGUGGGACUAUAUGACUAUAGGACUUAUGGACUGGAAGGUUAUCACAGUCUACUCAUACACUUUGCCCCAAAGUGUAACAGCUACACCUACAAAGGAAUGCAAGCAAGGUGCUGAAAGUUUGAUGUUAUGACAUCAUACUUCAUGAAAACAUUGACUAAUGCAUGUUGUUUUGCGGCAUUUGCUCUUCACUGUUCCCUUCACUAUAAACAUAUGAAGCAAUAAUGUAGAAAUUUCACCAGCCCACAGAACAGAGAUUGCUGCCUUGCACUCUAACCACAACAGCGCAAGGAUCAUACUCAAAAAUGAUGAUGGAUCUGACAAAUACAUCUUCAAGGGAUCGAAACCGAAGAAACAGUGGGUGAUCAUCCCGCUAAAAGAAAGCACGUCAUAUAGUUACGUACACAAGCAAGCCCAAGAUUCGCAGACAAAAACUUAAAGCGUGCUUCGCCUGCGUUACACCCAUUGACGCAAUGCAUAAGAAACGUAUAAUUUCAUUUUGGCGGAAAACGUCGACAUUUUUCUCUGGUUCUACACUGGAUCCUGUGAGGUCUAUAUACAAGAAAUUACGCCGAAAAAGAAUUAUCCGUAUAUCUAUAAAGGCUUUUGUUCCCCCGGCAUUUGAAAUCUUGCACAUUGUACUCAAUGGGGCAGAAGUAGCAUUCGCGCUUCAUCGUGAUUUCACAGUCCCAUACAUGAAAAGUUAUCCGCUUUAGGUAACUUUCCACCGCAGUUUCACCAUUAGGGGUACCAUGUUAGGAACCUAAAGUUGAAUGUCUUGAUUAUGUAGCGAGCCAGUUUUGUUCCCGAGGGCAUGAAAGUGCGACUAAAACGUAGGGGCAGAAGUAGCAUUCGCGCUUCAUCGUGAUUUCACAGUCCCAUACAAGAAAAGUUAUCCGCUUUAGGUAACUUUCCACCGCAGUUUCACCAUUAGGGGGACCAUGUUAGGAACCUAAAGUUGAAUGUCUUGAUUAUGUAGCGAGCCAGUUUUGUUCCCGAGGGCAUGAAAGUGCGACUAAAACGUAGGGGCAGAAGUAGCAUUCGCGCUUCAUCGUGAUUUCACAGUCCCAUACAUGAAAAGUUAUCCGCUUUAGGUAACUUUCCACCGCAGUUUCACCAUUAGGGGGACCAUGUUAGGAACCUAAAGUUGAAUGUCUUGAUUAUGUAGCGAGCCAGUUUUGUUCCCGAGGGCAUGAAAUGCGACUAAAACGUGAGACGUCGCACAUAAAGAGGGCUUAGCCGAACGACACUUCCGCAUGUAGGAAAGCGACUGUGCUUUUGGGCACGUGUAAAUGAGAGGGGGAAUGAAACUCGAAAGGGAGGGGAAUUAUCAGAGUUCACCACGCAUUCUCCUCUGAUAAGCAGCACCGCAAGACGGGUUUGAUAAAAUCAUGUACAAAAGAAAGGUGUGCUUUCACGGCCAAAAAGACUGAGAACAUUUCUGGUGACUUCUGCUUUAAAAACAGAAAAUACAACGCCGCAGAUACUGCGUUCCCCUGAGGUUCGCGUUUUGGGAAAUCGAACGCUCUCUUCUUCUUAGUAUCAAUUUUUUAAACUCUUUCUGACGUUGUAAUUAUGGCGGUAAAAAGAUGUAAAAAAAUUCUGUUGGCUGUAGUGUACAGUUAUUGCCAUGUGAUCUGUCCGCCGAUAAUUCCCUUUUAAUCGUUACCAUAUCUGCGACGGUCAUGUUUUUGCAUGUAUACAAUGUAUGCUUAUUUUUAUGUUUCACACUUUUCUUAAUUUUUCCUGGCAGCACCACGGGGAAGCUUGGU